CCCUUAGAUGUUCUGGGCUGCACGCGCGCUAGACUGAAGCGUUCAACGAGUAUUCACCUUGCCCGGGAGGGUUGGGUAAUCUUUUGAAAACGCUUCGUGAUGGGGAUAGAUUAUUGCAAAUAUUAAUCUUGAACGAGGAAUUCCUAGUAAGCGCAAGUCAACAGCUUGCGUUGAUUACGUCCCUGCCCUUUGUACACACCGCCCGUCGCUACUACUGAUUGGAUGUUUAAGCGAGGUUCUCGAACUGCUAGCGACUUAGCUUCGGUGAGGUCGCAGUGUGGGAAGUGAACCUAGCUUUGGUGUCUAGAGGAAGUAAAAGUCGUAACA
rnacentral:rRNA from 1 species